rnacentral:snRNA from 1 species
GUGCUUGGUUUGGCAGCACAUAUAUUGAAAUCAGAAUGAUACAGAGGUUAGCAUGGACGCUGCACAUGGAUGAUACAGAAAUUCAUCAACUGUUCUUUU